rnacentral:rRNA from 1 species
CCUACGGGAGGCAGCAGUGGGGAAUAUUGGACAAUGGGCGAAAGCCUGAUCCAGCAAUGCCGCGUGAGUGAUGAAGGCCUUAGGGUUGUAAAGCUCUUUUACCAGGGAUGAUAAUGACAGUACCUGGAGAAUAAGCUCCGGCUAACUCCGUGCCAGCAGCCGCGGUAAUACGGAGGGGGCUAGCGUUGUUCGGAAUUACUGGGCGUAAAGCGUACGUAGGCGGUUAUUCAAGUCAGAGGUGAAAGCCUGGAGCUCAACUCCAGAACUGCCUUUGAAACUAGAUAGCUAGAAUCUUGGAGAGGUGAGUGGAAUUCCGAGUGUAGAGGUGAAAUUCGUAGAUAUUCGGAAGAACACCAGUGGCGAAGGUGACUCACUGGACAAGUAUUGACGCUGAGGUACGAAAGCGUGGGGAGCAAACAGGAUUAGAUACCCUGGUAGUCCACGCCGUAAACGAUGAUAACUAGCUGUUCGGGCUCUACGAGCUUGAGUGGCGCAGCUAACGCAUUAAGUUAUCCGCCUGGGGAGGUACGGUCGCGAGAUAAACUACAANAGAGUAGUACGCGNGAGACGUGCGACGACGACGACGAGGGAGGAGG